rnacentral:lncRNA from 1 species
UAUUAUUACAUCUAAUAUAUAGUUAUCAAGUAUCAAGUAUAAUAAAUUAUUGUGAAAGAAUGGAUUUUCAGUAGUGUCUGUAGUAUAAUAAAUUUUGCAAAUUACUAAGGUCCAGUGUAAAAUGACUUAUGUGCCAUUUGAGAGAUUUUAGGAGAGUUUGAGUUGGGUUGGAACUAUUUUGGCGUGAAAACGAUGCAAAAAAUAAAAUUCCUGAACCAACCUACAAACUAGCCAUUCUCCAACUUUAGUACCGAUAUUGAAGUUUCGGUGUACCAGUUAUGACAUCCCAAUAGCGUGACAUCCCAAUAGCUCCACAUCGGAUAAUGUGGGAGAGAGUGUGACGAGUUUAUAAGUAACGAAUGUACUAGUAAUAAUAACUGGGUUUAAUCAUUUUGGGCUGGUGAUAUGGACCUAACGAGUUAUUAUUAAUUGCUAGUGGGUCCAGCUGUUAUA